UACGUAGGGUCCGAGCGUUGUCCGGAAUUAUUGGGCGUAAAGAGCUCGUAGGCGGUUUGUCGCGUCUGCUGUGAAAACCUAAGGCUCAACCUUGGGCUUGCAGUGGGUACGGGCAGACUAGAGUGCGGUAGGGGUGACUGGAAUUCCUGGUGUAGCGGUGGGAUGCGCAGAUAUCAGGAGGAACACCGGUGGCGAAGGCGGGUCUCUGGGCAGUAACUGACGCUGAGGAGCGAAAGCGUGGGGAGCGAACAGG
rnacentral:rRNA from 1 species